GCUGCUUGCUCCUGACUGGCCAGAACUUCUUCAAUCAAGGGCAGAGCAUCGUCCUCCUGGCCCAAGUCUUUUAGGGGUGGCUUUGAGCGCUCAGACUUCCAGGAUGAUCUGCCAGAAGGAUAUGUGAACUUAGAAAAUCCAACAAAUUCAUAAAAUAUACCAGAGCUGGUAAAAUUGCUUAGCUAGUUCUGAAUGCUUCAUGAGUACAGAGAAGAAGUAUGGUACAACUUUGUAGUCCAACUACAGUAAGUAUUUAAAUGAAGUUUUUACUUUUCCUAAACUUUUUCACAUCUAUUAUCCAAUAUUUUUUCCCUUAUGGUAAGCUACUGAAGUAGGUAAAGCAGUUGUUAUGCCACCAUUCAACAGAAAAAGAAGACAAGACUUUUGUGCUCUUUUUCUAAGAAUAUCCAUUAUAUACAAAGCAAACAUAAAUAAAAAUUACAAACUCAAA